GUAGUUUGAUCGUGGCUCAGAUUGAACGCUGGCGGCAGGCCUAACACAUGCAAGUCGAGCGGAUGAAGGGAGCUUGCUCCUGGAUUCAGCGGCGGACGGGUGAGUAAUGCCUAGGAAUCUGCCUGGUAGUGGGGGAUAACGUCCGGAAACGGGCGCUAAUACCGCAUACGUCCUGAGGGAGAAAGUGGGGGAUCUUCGGACCUCACGCUAUCAGAUGAGCCUAGGUCGGAUUAGCUAGUU
rnacentral:rRNA from 1 species